rnacentral:rRNA from 1 species
GACGAACGCUGGCGGCAGGCCUAACACAUGCAAGUCGAGCGCAGCGGCGGACGGGUGGGUAAUGCCUAGGAAUCUGCCUGGUAGUGGGGGAUAACGUCCGGAAACGGGCGCUAAUACCGCAUACUAUCAGAUCAGCCUAGGUGGUAUUUGCUAGUUGGUGGGGUAAAGGCCUACCAAGGCGACGAUCCCUAACUGGUCUGAGAGGAUGAUCAGUCACACUGGAACUGAGACACGGUCCAGACUCCUACGGGAGGCAGCAGUGGGGAAUAUUGGACAAUGGGCGAAAGCCUGAUCCAGCCAUGCCGCGUGUGUGAAGAAGGUCUUCGGAUUGUAAAGCACUUUAAGUUGGGAGGCGUUACCAACAGAGUAAGCACCGGCUAACUUCGUGCCAGCAGCCGCGGUAAUUC